AGGACCAAAUUCUAUCGUAUUGAUCUUGUACAUUUUUCCGAGUGUUGGAAGAUUAUCAAGUACCAAAAUUGGCUUAGAAAGCCUUUGACAAUGAACUCUGUCAAAUGAACAAACAAUGAACUCUGUCAGAAACAGAUUUCUUAGCGGACGCUUACGGCAAACUCGAGGCGGUUUCCUAUAGCAACAGGUACUAUGUCUGAACAAACAACGACGCAUAAUUAAGACCUUUAGCAAUCUGUGGCCUGCAGAAAAAAUCUCAAGAGAGUGAGGUUUCUCACAGAUAACUGUGAAGAGCGGCGGUUAAACUGUCAACAAGCUCCUCAAAAAGUUGAUCAACAGAUUCUGGAGAUCCCAGCAGAAAUAUCAGCCCACAAAGUCUUGCCAUUGACAACAAAUCAAGCAUACAAACUGCACAGUGAUUGUGAGAAUGCCGCUUCCAAAUUUUUACAUCAUAACGUGCAGUCAAAGGUGAUUUGAGUCUGCGCGGGGGCUAACGCUUAGCUGUGCGCAAAUCUUUCAAGGUUACUAUACUCGUCCUUCACCCACGAGGGCGCGCAGGCGUCCUGAAACGCUCAAACCAGUUUCAGCAAACUCUACCAGGUACUCCUCGCCUCACUGCGAUUUCAAACGCAAAUCUCAUCAUGUCAACUAAAAAUCUUCCAGCGAAAAAACAGUAAACAAGUGCAGAUCUUUCUUCUUCUAGGAUUCAAUAGUACUGAAAGCCGAUACAAACGAAUUUACACGGUUAACGCGGAGCAGUUCGGAACCAAGCUUCGAAUCAGGCAAUCGCGUAAGACGCGCGAGUAUCAAAGUUAGGUUGUAGAGAUAUUCUUCAGACCGACUUUACGGGUCAUCAAGUGACACCUAACGAUUCGGCUAAAUACCGACCAUUUUGAACCCGAUCGACUGGACGUUACUGCUUACUGCGCGUGGUCAAUAUCCUCGAGUCUCAACAAGCGAUGACUGGUCGUAUAAUACAAAAUAGGGGCGACGGCAGCAUAGACGACAGUUUGUCUUUUCAGUUAACUUCCUUUGCCUUCGUGGAAAGCAUAGCAAGCCUGCGUAAUUGCCCUAUGUCGGUUCAUAUUGAAGAUAGCGGUUGUACCUCAGUGGAUUUUGGGCACGUGGGUUCGAGAAACACCAGUACUAAUGAUAUGGCAGAAUAUACCAUUCAAGUAAUAUGACUAUAAGGAAAUUCUCUUUUUUCCUAGAUGUCUUUUUGGAAGUGCGAUGGUAACAGGUCUUCGCACUAACCUGAGGGACAUAGAAAUGGUGUCAAUUUGAGCCUGAAUCUAACAGCAUCUUAACAUCUGAACGAUAAGCAGGGUGGUCUAUUUUCUGCUGGAUUCUUAAACGCUGUUCUAUUGAACCCCGAAGCAUAAACAGCAUAUGCUUCCGACAUUGCUACACAGCGGCACAUGCGUGUUGUAGAAG